rnacentral:rRNA from 1 species
GGGGAACAAGGGGGCAGCAGGGGGGGUAAAAAGUAGGGUGAAAGCGUUGUCAGGAGUGAGUGGGCGUUAAGGGCGCGCAGGCGGUGUCGUAAGUCGGUCUUAAAAGUGCGGGGCUUAACCCCGUGAGGGGACCGAAACUGCGAUGCUAGAGUAUCGGAGAGGAAAGCGGAAUUCCUAGUGUAGCGGUGAAAUGCGUAGAUAUUAGGAGGAACACCAGUAGCGAAAGCGGCUUUCUGGACGACAACUGACGCUGAGGCGCGAAAGCCAGGGGAGCAAACGGGAUUAGAUACCCGGGUAGUC